AACGAACGCUGGCGGCAGGCUUAACACAUGCAAGUCGAACGCUCGUAGCAAUACGGGAGUGGCGGACGGGUGAGUAACGCGUGGGAACGUGCCCUGAGGUACGGAAUAACUGCGGGAAACUGCAGCUAAUACCGUAUGAGCCCCGUGAGGGGGAAAGAUUUAUCGCCUUAGGAGCGGCCCGCGUCGGAUUAGCUAGUUGGUGGGGUAACGGCUUACCAAGGCUUCGAUCCGUAGCUGGUCUGAGAGGACGAUCAGCCACACUGGGACUGAGACACGGCCCAGACUCCUACGGGAGGCAGCAGUGGGGAAUCUUGCGCAAUGGGGGCAACCCUGACGCAGCCAUGCCGCGUGAAUGAUGAAGGCCUUAGGGUUGUAAAGUUCUUUUGCCCGUGACGAUGAUGACGGUAACGGAGAAUAAGCUCCGGCUAACUUCGUG
rnacentral:rRNA from 1 species